GUAACGCGUGGGAACGUGCCUCUCUCUACGGAAUAGUCCCGGGAAACUGGGUUUAAUACCGUAUACGCCCUUCGGGGGAAAGAUUUAUCGGAGAGAGAUCGGCCCGCGUUAGAUUAGAUAGUUGGUGGGGUAAUGGCCUACCAAGUCUACGAUCUAUAGCUGGUUUGAGAGGAUGAUCAGCAACACUGGGACUGAGACACGGCCCAGACUCCUACGGGAGGCAGCAGUGGGGAAUCUUAGACAAUGGGCGCAAGCCUGAUCUAGCCAUGCCGCGUGUGUGAUGAAGGCCUUAGGGUCGUAAAGCACUUUCGCCUGUGAAGAUAAUGACUGUAGCAGGUAAAGAAACCCCGGCUAACUCCGUGCCAGCAGCCGCGGUAAUACGGAGGGGGUUAGCGUUGUUCGGAAUUACUGGGCGUAAAGCGCGCGUAGGCGGGCUGGAAAGUUGGGGGUGAAAUCCCGGGGCUCAACCCCGGAACUGCCUCCAAAACUCCCAGCCUAGAGGUCGAGAGAGGUGAGUGGAAUUCCGAGUGUAGAGGUGAAAUUCGUAGAUAUUCGGAGGAACACCAGUGGCGAAGGCGGCUCACUGGCUCGAUACUGACGCUGAGGUGCGAAAGUGUGGGGAGCAAACAGGAUUAGAUACCCUGGUAGUCCACACCGUAAACGAUGAAUGCCAGUCGUCGGGGAGCUUGCUCUUCGGUGA
rnacentral:rRNA from 1 species